GACGAACGCUGGCGGCGUGCCUAAUACAUGCAAGUCGAACGCAGUGGGGACGGGUUAGUAACACGUGGGUAACCUCCCAUCAGAGGGGAUAACACUUGGAAACAGCUGCUAAACCGAUACUGAUGGAUGGACCCGCGGUGCAUUAGCUAGUUGGUGGGGUAACGGCUCACCAAGGCCACGAUGCAUAGCGGGCCUGAGAGGGUGACCGGCCACACUGGAACUGAGACACGGCCCAGACUCCUACGGGAGGCAGCAGUGGGGAAUCUUGGACAAUGGGCGAAAGUCUGACGGAGCAACGCCGCGUGAGUGAAGAAGGUUUUCGGAUCGUAAAACACUGUUGUUAGGGAGGCGUUACCUAAAGAAGAAGCAACGGCUAACUACGUGCCAGCAGCCGCGGUAAUAC
rnacentral:rRNA from 1 species